CUUGCACAACACACUGGCCCACUGCCUAGACUACUAAAGCAGUAAGAAAGAUGUCUUCAUUUCUUACAUCAUUAGUCUCAACAGUAAAUCUGCAGGAUGUUUUUUAAUUAGAAGUAAUACAUUUUAAACAGAUAUUUGGAAAACAUUUAAGUCUUUCAUUAUGCAUGUGCAGGAAGUUGCCUUUUUUUGUCAGCAACGAUAAGUCAUGCUGCUUGCACUGAAGCAGCAUGGUGACAGCAUAGAGCUCUGCAAUACAUUUUGCUGCAUGGAACCAUAGCACUUCAUAAGAAAAAAAUAAUGGGACUAUUUGCAAGAAAUAGACCUAUUUGGUGUGAAAAGUGGUAAUCUCUGAAGGAAUAGUGUGUGUGUAUGUGUGUCUCUGUACACACCCAUGUACAAAUGCUAUAGUUACGUAGUCUAUUACAGUCUUGCAAAAUAAGCUGAUACGCUUUAAUUCAUUGUGAAUUUCUGGGCUUAAUGGGGAAACUCCACUCAGAACAUCCUUUCCCUUUAAAAAUAAUAAUAAAUAUCACUUCCUCCAUGAUGAAUGGGAAUCUAACAUGAAUAAGUUCUUAACAUUUGUGUAUUAGAUUACAUUAUUAAUUGUUGCUGUUUUGCAAAAAAAAAAAAAUUAUAAUUAUUUCUGCUUGACUCUUUAAUCACUGGAUUUACCUCUUCUACUAGGUCCGCAAGAACUUAGGGACAGGGACUUGUAAUAAUUCUUUAUUAGGCUACCUGCUACUAAAUUCAUUCAAACUCCAUGGUCUUAAAAGUUUAUAGCCAGACAAAAAAUAGUGUCACCACUAAAGUAUUUCAGCUAACUAUCAGGCCCUCUCUUUUAGUACAAAAUGUAUUGUCACAAGUAUUACUUUAUUUUCAUGAUCUCAGAUCAGCCACCAACUAUUUUAACUUAGCUCUUCACAUACUUUCAAAUAACUGAUAUCCUCAUCAACCAGCGUUAGCAUGUUACAUGGAACGAAGUCAGUCACCUCCAUGUUUGGUAAAAGGAAAAUCUGAUGUUCUUUUCAUUAAACUAAUUCCAUUUGGAUCGGCACCAGAACAACUCUGACCAGAAUUUAGCCUGACAUACUUGGUUGUCAAGGGCACCGUGUGUUUCAGGAGAGGCUAUUACAAUUCAAAAGCAACACAGCAAAAACCUUUUAGUUUAGUUGGAAUUUUACUAGUUGUUAGCACCAAUUUUCAUGCAUUAGAGGCCUGAUGAAAUUGCUGAUGUAAGAAGUGAUAAUUUUCUUGAUGUGAAACUAAUAGGACAUUUUUAAUUUAAUAUUAAAGUAGAGAAUAACUUAGUCUCUGUUGUAGAAGAACAUGCUAAAAUUAAAAAAAAAAAAAGCAGAAUUAACUGGGCAAAUAGCAAAUGCCUAUGAAUCAUGGAAAGGGAAUGUAAACAAUUAAUACUAAUUAGUAUCAGAUUUCAAGAUUAAGUUAAAUGGAGGAAAUGACAUCACUGCUAAGGCCUGUGGCAAACUUCCAAAAUAAUCCUUUUCCUUUCUGUUGUUUGCCCAGGUUUUUUUUGCAGUUGUCUUCUCAGUUUGAUAGUGCUUAUCCUGAAUUUUGAAACAGCAAUUUAAAAACAUCCAUUGCCCGAGCUGUUUGUUGGUUAUCUUUGUCUACCCAGAUCUGGAGGAAUCAGGAUCAAGCAGAAGGAUCAGCACUGCAGUCCAGGUCAUGCGGUGUGUUUUUGCAAGAUCCAGCUAUGAUUGUCUGCCUUGGACCUCUUCCAGCCAAAGAUAAACUUGACUUACACCCUUAAAAUUCAUAAGCCAGGGUCUGCAGUUUGACAUCAGAUGACCAAUAUACAGUCUUCAAUAUUUAUCGCCGGCAGUUGCAGCUGCUUCUGAAGGCAUGUGAAAGGACCUUGUAGUAAAGUUCUUUCUCUGAAUUCUCACUGUUCAUAAAACUAAUCAGAAAACAUGACAGAAUAUUUCACUCUACUCUGCAAUGACUUAGAACGUUCUGAUCUACCAUUCAAAACUCAAUUCUUGAGCUAAUUUUGGCAGGACAGAUAAACUCCUUGUGUCUUAGUUUCCCCAUCCGGAAUAACAGCACCUACCUUUUUCACUGGGGAACUUUAAUUAAUCAGCAACUCUAGACGGCUACAUAGAGCAGAGCAAACAAUCUGGCAUGAGCAGUUUAUUCAGUGAAUUUAGACGGCUUUCAGAUAACCCUCGAGCAGAUGGUGUUGUUAUCAGCUACAGAGGAAAAGAGUUAAAAUCACCCCAGCCUGAAUAUUUCUGCUGUUAUAGUUCACUUUACAGAAUCUUCAGCCCCAAGGAAGUACUUCUCAAAGAUAAGGAACCUUUUCUUUUCAGCUGUCUGAGAACCACCUUCAAAAGACAGCACCCAUGGGACUGCUGGAGCUCUCUGAUUCCCAGGGAGGCAGGUGGAGGAGGCUUCCAUACACAGUUUGACUGAUCAAGGCCCAUUGGGAUCUGUCCAUGCUUCAGAAAAGAUUUUACCUUAACCAGAAAGCCUUUUUUAACCAUCUUGUCUUGGCUGACGCCUUCGGAUAAUGGACAGGCUUUCUUUGACAUCAGGAAACAAAACAUCAUUUUGAAGGAUAACAGAAAGAGAGUCAAGCCAGAAUGAGUUUUACUUUAAAAUGUUCAAGAAUUCUAUCUAUCAUUCAAGGUAACAAUUACAUACCACAUAAAUUCACUACUUGCUAUUCAAGAGAAAAACUGCUUGUUAUCAUUGAGUUUAACUUACUUAUUUCAAAGCAUUGUAUCUCAUUUUACUUUACUUUAUUUUUUCAUUUGUAUUCCCCUGGAGACUACCUUAAGGUUUAUACAAGUUUUCAGAAAGAAAUUAUAUAAGCCAUGUUACGCUAGUCAUUGCCUAGCAGCCACCACAUCUAAACAAUGAGUACCAGGCUAUUGGAUUAUAUUUUGAAAUACAAUUUUCAGCCUUGCAAGUGCCCAGUCACAUAAUGCCUGACAGCUAGUAGCUGGUGUGAUUAUGUGGGCUGUCAAAGACCACCUCUGUUCUAACACAAAAGAUACACCACCUGAUUGCUUAGAGCUAGAUGAUAUAAAGGAUUCUGCUGCUGAGUUAGGACUUUGUCUUUAGUUUCUUAAGUUAGAAACUGGAUUACAUUUCCCUACCUUUCUUUCUUGUCUACAGUGACCCAUCUAACCCUUGAAGUACCUAACGACUUCUGUGGAUUUUAAGUGUUGCAGACUGAUUGUGUGAGAGUUUUAAUGCCCCUGGCAGAGACAGCUGGUAUCUGCUUCUCUGUUUGAAUGUGCUGUGGUGACUGAUUAUGAUGUGCUUAGCGCCAUCUCAUAUUUAAGUGGGUUUUGAGGAAUUAAACUGUUUGUAUUAAAAAGGUAUUUUCAGAAUUCAUAAUGAACCUCUUUGAAGUGCUUCUUGUAGGCUCUGAGUGUAAAAACACCUGAGAAGCUUGGAAAAGAUGCCUGUGCUCAUAUCUAUAUCUGAAACACCAUCAUUUUUCUAAUUUAAACCAGCGACAAUGGUGCCAAACACAACGGACAUAAAGAUGGAAGUUGAUUUUACAGAAAACUUAGCACAACCGGCAUUUUUUUCUUAUCUGUAAGAAACAGAGAAAAUAACCUUUGAUUAGGCCUUCCAGCUUGACCUCUAGUGGAUGAAGUUCUGCUUUUCUGAACAAAAAGUUACAACACUAUCCUCAGGCUGGCUGGAGUCAACAAUGAGAUUUUUCACCAAGGUUCAGUUUCCUUCUUUCCUUCUCCCUGAACUUCCUCUUUUGUCCUUUUCUUUUAGUAGAUGUUGACAAAACUUUCAUCUUUAUUCAGUUUUAGAAUGUAGUGUUUUUUUAAAUGCGAAUAACAGGUGAAAAAAAGUUCUUUAUCACAAUGGGUAAUGCUAAAAAUGCAUUGGGAACAUUCCUAUACUAAUGAAAAGGACAUUCUUGAAAUUGCUAAACGCAAAGCUGCAAAGAGACAGACUCUACACAUCUUAACAUAAUUAUUCCUGGAAUUCCAGAUGUUUAAUAAAAGGCUCAAGGCAAAAGUUAUUUUUCUGUAACAUUUGAAUAACAUUAAAGCAUCAUUUAAAUCAAUGAUUUAGCCAUAUUUACCCAUCUGUAAUUCUUUGGUAGCGUAUGUCAUGUUAGACAAGCUGGAUAUAGGAACAGAAUGCGUGUCCAAUGCUGAGGUAAGUCUUACAUCCAUGAUUUUUCUUAUAAUUUCACCUGGUUUAUUUUCUUUAAAUUAAGCCUAAAUUUUAAUAAGGGAAAUAGUGUUAACUAAGUCAUAAUUUAAGAACUGAAGAAAAAAAAUAUGUUGAAAAAUUAAUUCUCAGUGGCAGCCACCAACGUUCAACAUGACAGAUACUUUUCCUUAAAAAGUCUGUCUUCUGUUUGCUCUAAGAGGUACUGCUAUGCUGUGUUAUAAUCCAACAGUGGCUGUAAACACUGGACAGUUCUGGAAUAAGUCUACUUUCACAGGGUGUUUUUUUUUUUUUUUUAAUGUUAUGUGAUGUCUUCUUUUUCACAUAGAUCAAGUUUGGAAGCAGACCAUUCCACGUUACUACCUUAUCCACAUUCUCUCUCUGGGCAGUUUUUUUUUGUUUGUUUGUUGACCUGUGUAUAGUUCACAUGAAAAAAUGAAUAGUUUCAGAAAAGCCUUAGUCUUGUGCACCUGUGUAAGGCUCUGCAACUGAAUUCUGUUCUGGAAUUCUUUGAAGUUGAUGCUACGGAUGCAGUAAGCUACUUCAGAUUGAUAUUGAUAGUUAAUGAAGGUGAAUAAAUGCAUAGCAAUUGCAUUAAAAAAUCCACUUGCUCAGAAUUUCACUUCAGUGUAGUUGAUUUUUAGCAAAAAGGAAGAUACAGCAUGUCUUAGCUCCUGUAAUUUUCUGAUAUUUUGUCACUAGUUCACUUUUGCAGAAAACUAUGAAAUAAUUUAGAGCAUGCCAUAGAAACAAGCAACCAAACAACAAGAAAAAUAACAUUGCAAUCAAAACAAAAAAAAUACCUCUCCACAUACAAAGGUCUUCUGUUCAAUCCCUUUAAAUUCAGAGCUAAACUUAUAGAACCAAACAACGAGAUUAUUUCUUGUGAGGGAGUUUCUGAAGGACAUCCCAGGAGGUCACUGCUGUACACGUCUGGAUCCUGGAUCCACAGUGAUACAUCAAAGCAAUCAUGCAACAAGUAGUAAAUCACAAUCUGAUGUCCUCACAACCUACACAUUUAAAACAAACAAACAUGUAUUAAAAAAGACAUGCUUGUGCCUUGUUUCAGACACUUGUUGAGUGUCUGUAUAGUUAUACUGGUAUAAUACAUUAUAGGUUAGGUCAUACAAUGUUCACAGGAUGUAUUUUGUUUUCCUUUUCCAUAUUUGUCUACUAGUUUAUAUUCCUAUCUGGAGCACCACCUGCCUGACAAAAUGAAGCAUGUUGCACUACUGUGAAUGGGCUCAACUUGACUUAUAUACCCUUGCUGGUUUAUACUGCUCUGGAGAUGAAAAGCAGCCUUUAGGCUGGGAUUGUGCAAUCAGUCUGGCAUAGCGGAGUCAUGCAGAAUAGACAUAGGCUGAAUUUAAAUGAAAGCUCACAUAGGUAAAUUACAUCACCAAGUAAGUCAGUGCUAAAUGUUACCGAAGCUUCAUAUGGAGUAAGUAUAUAGAGAUGUCAGAGUUCCUCCUUAACUCACUGAUUAAAAAUUGUAUUUCUACAUAAGUAAGUUCAAGCUUUCAACCAACCUUAGGUGACUGCCAGUGCAUUAUCUUCAGUGGAGUUAUAACUAUUGUAACUGACUACACUAAAAAAAGUAUUGGAACAUGAGACUGCAGAAAUACUACCUUCUUCACCGAGACUCACUCAAAGCAAUAUGUAAAUAAUUUAAACCUCUUUGUUUCUGUGUAAGCUUUUAUUAUAGAUUUUCUGGUUUCUAGGGAUCUGGCUCUGGAAUAGCUUCUAACUUCUUGUUCCAGAAACAACAGCACUGCAUAACUUUGUUGCCAGAGUCUUCUCCCUAGAUUUCAUUAAAAUCAGUCAAAUAACAUCCUCUAGGCAUUCUCAGCUCCGUUGUGCUGUGCUGUGUUUUGAAAGGACUGCAGGUAUUUCUGUAUACUUACCAACAUCUAAAAACUUUGUUCCUCACUCUGCCUUCUGAUAUAUCUGCUGAGGAAUUUUAUGGCAUCUCUGUGGAAAGACUUUUGUGUAUUACAUUUCUUAAAAAAAAAUAUAACUUAAUAUUCAUAUAGUCCUUGUGGGAUUAAUGGAUGUGGAUAAAUGGGAAUCUGUGAAAUCAUAACCGCAGAAGAGCAAGCACAAAUUAUAAAACCAUAGGCAUAAUCUGAAGCAUGUGUCCAAAUAGUACCCAGAAAAAUCCUGGACAGAAAUGAGACCUGGUCAUAAACCAGGAAACUUGGGCAGCAGGAACAAUUUAUAAUGGUGGAGACCUCAGAGAAUGUGGUAAAAUCACAGUAGAGUUAAUCAAGAAGAACAAAAAGUACUAGAAAUACUAAAAAAAAGCUACAAUAGUCUCCUUGUUCUGAUUGAUAUAUUUGGAAACAACAAAAAAAAUACUUUAGAUAUUUAUUAUUUAUUACUUAAGUGAUCAAAUUCUGUCAUUAUUUCUGUGCCAAAUUUUCCUUCGCUUGGAAGUUUACUUCUAUCGGUAAGAUUCUGUGGAGCUUUUUUUUUUUAAAAAAAAAAAACAAAUUACUAUCUUUUCAUACUGAAAAUUAAAAUACAUUCGGCCACAGCAGCCCAAACCCUGACCCUUUUCUGCAAAAACUCCAACAGCACUCACCAGAUUCCAGAUUGCUGUGAAGGCAGAGAUGGUUUCUUCUUGGCAAGACGGAACACUUGGAAAUUCAAAAUGACAUUCUACAAAAUUGCACAGAUAUUUUUCAAUUUCAACAUGUGCAUAAACUAUGCUUUGUUUAGGACUAUGGAGUACAGAAGGACUUAUUCAACAUACGUAUGCAUGUGAAAGAACUGGAAACAGCUAAUUUGCAAAAUAUUUACUUCUAGAGGUCAUCUUUGACCUUAAUUUUGAUUUUAACUUUGUAAAUACUAUUAAAAUACUUUUAUUUAAAAUAUUAAUGUAUUAAGAUCAUAUUUUAAAUAUGAUAAUUAUACAAAUAUUAUUAUUAUUAUUCUCUUUCAAGUGUGAAUAUUUAAGGCUGUAUAAAAUAUAUGUGGCUUUCUUCUGGGUACUUUUGUCAUAUCAUUAAUACAUAAAUAAGAAUGGAGGAGGUACAUUUCACAAAGAAUGUUCUAUUGUGAGUUCUUAUGGCAUGUGUCAAGACAUAAUGCUUCUAUGUUGUAUGAAGUUUUACCUGGCUUAGGAUAAUUUAUGAAUCAUCUUUUGUCUAGUUUUCUUUAAAUAAAAAUGAAUAGACACAUAUGCACAGAGUUUUUGGAAGACAGAACCUGAUGCCACAUAUUUGAAGUUUAAAUAGCUCUUUCUAGGAAACUGAGUGAUCAAAAAACUUGAGUCUAAAAUACAAACUUGUGAAGAACUUUCUCUACAAAAUAUUAUCAAUAACUUCAAAUUGCAGAAGCAAUUACCUUCCACCUGUUUUUUUGUUACCCAGCUAUUCCUAAACAUUUAAUGUGAAGAGAAUUUAAGGAUCUGUGAAAGGAGAUGGAAAAUAACUAUCAAUAAUUUUAUCAUGAUUACUUGAGGAAAAAAAUACUGUGAAAGCAUACAGUUGUAAUCCAUGAAGGAUUAUUGUCAUGGCAAAGUCUUCACUCUUAUAUAAGUUUUUCAAAGCUUCAGGCAAACGUUCUGUAACAAACUAACAGGCAGGGAGAAAAUCAGUGAGGAAAUACGUUUAUCUGUAAUUUAUGAUAUUUACUUCAUCUGAGAUUUUGAAGAGAUCAGGGCAAUGGUUCAAAAGAUGCCCAGAAAUUUUGUUCCAAUUUCAGUUCUUCUCGCUUUGAUAAACAAUAUUUUCCUGUUUUCAGUGCAGCAUUAGCUCAGUUUCUCAAGAUAGCUACAGGCUAUCAGUUUCAGCAACAUAAAAUGCUAGACUUAUCUUUAAUUAAAAGGAGGCAAUAGAAUAUGUCCUGAUAGAUUUCAGUUUCCUUAUCAGCAAAAUAUAAAACUAUAUCCAUGUUACUUGCAGGCAACUAGCAUGAGGAUUAUUGAUUUAGCACAGUCAAGGAGUUUCAUAGCGCAUUAUUUUGUAAGCAUUUCACAUGUUCCUUAUAAAAUAUAUAUAUAUAAGGGGCAUCAAAGAACAGCUCAUUCCUGAAGGAAAGUAGAAGGACUUUGUCUCAUCAGGGCUGCUUGAGGAUGACAUGAGCCUGCCCUCUUCUGUCACCUCAAAGUGGAGGAAGUCCAGUAAUCCAAAUCUAAAGAAUGUCAAGCUAAAGAGCUGCCUAAAACAAGGAAAUUUACUUUCCUUAAAUGUCUCUAUCCUACAUAAACAGAAAGAUAGCGUAAAUAAAUUCUUUCCAUAUAACAUUCUUCAAGCCCUUAGUGCCAUUUAAACUUUGACUUUUUCAAUUUGCAUCCCAUACUUGUAACGCUAAAGAUAAUACAGACAUACAGUACCCAAACAAGUGCCAAGCCAUACUGAAUACUGUGUCAAGAGCUGCACUCAAUGUCAUUAAAAUCUUCCCACUUCACGAAUCGCUUCAGUUUAUCUUCUAAGAAAAGUAGUAUCUGUAAUAAAGGUUUUGGUACACAAACCAACAUUAGCAGAGCUGUACUUUCAGUAUCUUCUAUAUCAUUUCAUGUAAAUACCUCCUCAUAGUAAGAACAAUUUCCCUUUAUAUUUAUCCUCAUUAUUUUUAUAUUACUAUUGUUUGUAUGAGUGUGUAUAAGAUUUGCUCCUUUGAUAACCAUGCCCAUGCACCUGAAAAUAAUGCCUGUUAAAAAGACAGUGCCCAUUUAGACUCAUGGCUAUACUAAAAAAAAAAAA